CUCCCCCCUCCAAACUUAUUUUCCAUUGUCUCCAAUAGAAGAAGAGAAUAAUAAAGUAGAAUAAAAUAGAAAAAAAAAUUACAAGAAAAGAUACUAUCUGAAUUCGAUGUGCUCAUUUAUUACCGGGUAAGAGGUUCUUUCUUUGUGGGUGUGAUUUAUUCGUGACUCCAUCUAGACCUUAGAUGGAAUGCUCUCCCCAACUUGGUUGAUUGUUCUUCUCAGGUUUUCCUAUCAAAAGAAAAGAAGAUAGAUAAUUAGAAAAAUGCAUAAGCUGGGUUGCCUCCCAAGAGCGCUAAGUUUAAAGUCUUCAGUCAGACUGUACUGAGUAUUAUUCAACUGGAUUCACUAGAUCAACAGAUUUAAUUAGCUCCCCAUCAUUGAUUCCUUACAGAUAUGGUUUCAGACGCUGGCCAUUUACCUUAAAAAUGUUUUCCUAUUUAGGAUCUCUGAGUUCUACAGCACCAUGAGAAAAUACCUGGGUCACGAUGAAGGGUCCAUCCCAGUGUGAGCAAAGUUUUUCAAGAAAAAGAUGCAACCUAGAAUUGAAGAGACAUACUUUCUGAUUGA
rnacentral:lncRNA from 1 species